AUCCAGCUGAUGUGUCGCAAAUAAGACGAAACACGCAUACUGGGU
rnacentral:hammerhead_ribozyme from 1 species